rnacentral:lncRNA from 1 species
UAUAGGUCAGUAGUAAACAAAUUAACGUUAUCUUUGAUAGCUGAUAAUCGUCUUCUUACACCUUAAUAUGGCAAAAACAAAGACCAUGAAGCGGAAAGAAGAGUCCGAGAAUGAUAAAAGUGUGCUAUGUCGUGUUUGUGGGAA